ACCGAGGUGGCGGAAUAGGUAGUCGCGUUACUUUGAGGUGGUAAUGCUUUAUAAGCAUACGGGUUCAAGCCCCGUCCUCGGUA
rnacentral:tRNA from 1 species